rnacentral:rRNA from 1 species
UGGGGAAUAUUGCGCAAUGGGCGAAAGCCUGACGCAGCAACGCCGCGUGAGUGAAGAAGGCCUUUGGGUUGUAAAGCUCUUUCGGCUGGGAAGAAGGGUACUGGCGUGAAUAGCGUUGGUAUUUGAUGGUACCAGAAGAAGAAGCACCGGCUAACUUCGUGCCAGCAGCCGCGGUAAUACGAAGGGUGCAAGCGUUGUUCGGAAUUAUUGGGCGUAAAGGGUUCGUAGGCGGGAGUUUAAGUCAAAUGUGAAAUACCCGAGCUUAACUUGGGACGUGCAUUUGAGACUGGAUUUCUUGAGUAUCGGAGAGGGUGGUGGAAUUGCUGGUGUAGGAGUGACAUCCGUAGAGAUCAGCAGGAACAUCGGAGGCGAAAGCGACCGCCUGGCCGAGUACUGACGCUGAGGAACGAAAGCGUGGGGAGCAAACAGG